GGGUGCACGCUUGUGAGCUGGCGGGCAGGUUCACAAUGUGUUGGUCGGGCCGCCAGCA
rfam:Sphingobium chungbukense strain DJ77 contig00020, whole genome shotgun sequence.